AUAAAAUAUAGAAAACAUCCGAUCACAUUCCAUAUACGAUUGGCUUGUAGGGCAUUAUUCUUUCAAUAAGAUCCAUGAUUAGGUAGUUUUCAGAUCUGAUCUAAUGUAUAUUAGAUUAAAAGUUUUAAUCUAGAUCUAUUCUGCUGCAUGCUUGAUUGAAAAGUUUUUGAACUACAUGCAUGAAACUAUUGCAUUCUAAUAGUUUUCUCCCACCAAAGAUCACAGUCAUUGGCUGCCCCUUUUCUUUGAUUUCUUCUUAUUAUACCGAUGGUUUAGCCUUGCUUUGACCAUCAAAAAUUGGAUUAAUUCUCAUCAA
rnacentral:lncRNA from 1 species